rnacentral:rRNA from 1 species
CCCGACUGCUAUUUGGGUGAGGAUAAGCCAUGCGAGUUGAAUGGGAUACCUAAAUUUCCCAUGGCAAACUGCUCAGUAACACAUGAUCAACUUACCCUAUAGAGAAAAAUAACCUCGGGAAACUGAGGAUAAUAUUUCAUAGUUGAAUAGGCUUGGAAAGGUUUUUCAAUAAAAGGGAUAAAAAAAAUGCAGGCGCGGAACCUCCGCAAUACACGAAAGUGUGACGGGGUUACCCAAAGUGUUCAAUUCUGAACUGUGGUAGGUGAGUAAUGUCCCCUACUAGAAAGGAGAGGGCAAGGCUGGUGCCAGCCGCCGCGGUAAAACCAGCUCUUCAAGUGGUCGGGAUAAUUAUUGGGCUUAAAGUGUCCGUAGCCGGUUUAGUAAGUUCCUGGUAAAAUCGGGUAGCUUAACUAUCUGUAUGCUAGGAAUACUGCUAUACUAGAGGGCGGGAGAGGUCUGAGGUACUACAGGGGUAGGGGUGAAAUCUUAUAAUCCUUGUAGGACCACCAGUGGCGAAGGCGUCAGACUGGAACGCGCCUGACGGUGAGGGACGAAAGCCAGGGGAGCGAACCGGAUUAGAUACCCGGGUGGUCCUGGCCGUAAACGAUGCAUACUAGGUGAUGGUACGGCCAUGAGCCGUAUCAGUGCCGUAGGGAAACCGUUAAGUGUGCCGCCUGGGAAGUACGGUCGCAAGGCUAAAACUUAAAGGAAUUGGCGGGGGAGCACCACAAGGGGUGAAGCCUGCGGUUC